CCACACUACAGCUCUGAACCCUUUCUCCUGUGGACAGAUGUUUGGGAUGCUUGCAGGCUGAGCUGUCUGAACACCAUUCAUAUAAACGCCAGCCUCUCCUUGAUGCUCAGAAACACCAGCUCUGUUGUAAAUCAGGCAGCCACAUAUGUGUGAAACUGUUGACUGAAGGCCUUCUCUGUGCAUGCGUCAGGCCGGGAAAUCCACAAGAAUGCAUCCCAUUCAAGACCCAAUCCUCCCACUGGUAUCCCAUUUUGAAAUGUCAGCAGGAGGCCAGCUGCAGCUGCCCAGCCUGGGGCCAAUCCACCUCCUACCUUGGCUUGACUUGUGAAGGGGACCCGUAGGGCUGCCUCAGGACCUGACAGCUGGCUCCCCCAGGAGAAUAUAUAUCAUUAAGAAAGAUGAGCCUGAAGAGUUGAUGCUUUUGAACUGUGAUGUUGGAGAAAACUCUUGAGAGUCCCUUGGACAGCAAGGAGAUCAAACCAGUCAAUCUAAAAAAAAAAUCAACCCUGAAUACUCAUCGCAACGACUGAUGCUGAAGCUGAAGCUCAAGCUCCAAUACUUUGGCCACCUGAUGCAAAGAGCUGACUCAUUGGAAAAGACCCUGAUGUUGGGAAAAAUUGAAGGCAGGAGAAGGGGAUGACAGAGGAUGAGAUGGUUGGAUGGCAUCACUGACUUAAUGGACAUAAUUCUGAGCAAAUUCCAGGAGAUGGUGAAGGACAGGGGAGCCUGGCAUGCUGUAGUCCAUGGGGUCACCAAGAGUCGGACACGACUGAGCAACUGAACUGAAGUUACUAAUUGCAGGCCACACAUGAGGAGGGGAUUACAUAAAGG
ensembl:lncRNA